UGGCCAAAGAUGAAUAUCACGAACUGAUUGUGGAUUGAAUUAUACACAGAUCUGAUGGCUUAAAGGAUUUUCUGAGGCCA
rnacentral:snoRNA from 1 species